rnacentral:tRNA from 1 species
UUGCGGAGACAGGAUUUGAC